GGUUUGAUUCUGGCUCAGAUUGAACGCUGGCGGAUGCUUUACACAUGCAAGUCGAACGGCAGCACGGACUUCGGUCUGGUGGCGAGUGGCGAACGGGUGAGUAAUGUAUCUGAACGUGCCUUAUAGCGGGGAUAACUACGCGAAAGCGUAGCUAAUACCGCAUACGCCCUUCGGGGAGCGGGGGACCUUCGGGCCUCGCACUAUUAGAGCGGCCGAUAUCGACGAAUAACAGGGGGUAACGGCUCACCAAGGCGCACGAUCCGUAGCUGGUUUGAGAGGACGACCAGCCACACUGGGACUGAGACACGGCCCAGACUCCUACGGGAGGCAGCAGUGGGGAAUUUUGGACAAUGGGGGAAACUGAUCCGUUGCAUCCGCGUGCGAUGAAGGCUCCCGGUCAGGAAGCACUUUGGCAGGAAAGAAACGGCACGGGAUAAUACUCGUGCACCGACGGUACUCUUGGUGACGGCACCGGCUGUUCAUGCCAGCAGCCGCGUAACACGUAGGGUGCAAGCGUUAAUCGGAAUUACUGGACGUAAAGCGUGCGCAGGCGGUUCGGAAAGAAAGAUGAAAUCCCAGAGAGCUUAACUUUGGAACUGCAUUUUUAACUACCGGGAGCUAGGAGUGUGAGGGAGGUGGAAUUCCAGUGUAGCAGUGAAAUGCGUAGAUAUGCGGAGGAACACCGAUGGCGAAGGCAGCCUCCUGGGAUAACACUGACGCUCAUGCACGAAAGCGUGUGGGGAGCAAACAGGAUUAGAUACCCUGGUAGUCCACGCCCUAAACGAUGUCAAUCCAGCUGCUGGGGCCUUCUUCGCCUUGGUAGCGCAGCUAACGGCAGUUGACCGCCUGGGGAGUACGGUCGCAAGAUUAAAACUCAAAGGAAUUGACACGCAAGUGCGGAUGAUGUGGAUUAAUUCGAUGCAACGCGAAAAACCUUACCUACCCUUGACAUGUCUGGGAAUCCUAAAGAGAUUUGGGAGGUCGCAAGAGAACCGGUUAGCUGUAAGGUCGUCGUCACUGUGUCGAGAUGCUGGGUUAAGUCCCGCAACGAGCGCAACCCUUGUCAUUAGUUGCUACGAAAGGGCACUCUAAUGAGACUGCCGGUGACAAACCGGAGGAAGGUGGGGAUGACGUCAAGUCCUCAUGGCCCCAUGGGUAGGCUCAUCGUCAUAAUAUCAAGAGGUCGCCAACCCGCGAGGGGGAGCCAAUCCUGCAGAAACCCGAUCGUAGUCCGGAUCGCAGUCUGCAACUCGACUGCGUGAAGUCGGAAUCGCCAGUAACGCGGAUCAGCAUGUCGCGGUGAAUACGUUCCCGGGUCUUGUACACACCGCCCGUCACACCAUGUGGGAGUGGUUUUACCAGAAGCGAAGUUGCCUAACCGUAAGGAGGGCUGAUACUACUUUAGAUUCAUGACUGGGGGUGAAGUCGUAACAAGGCAACCCCAGCAUACCACGCUCCCAGGAGAACAUGCA
rnacentral:rRNA from 1 species